rnacentral:hammerhead_ribozyme from 1 species
AUCUAACUGAUGAGUCCCAUAUAGGACGAAACGCACGUCCUUGAC